rnacentral:rRNA from 1 species
ACUACUCCACAUAUCAAUAAGCGGAGGAAAGGAAACUUACAAGGAUUCCCUUAGUAACGGCGAGUGAACCGGGAACCCGCCUUAGAAUCGGGAGGUUCCAUCGUCUAAAUUGUAGUCAGGAGAAGCGUCCUCAGCGACAGCCGGGCCCAAGUCUCCUGGAAGGGGGCGCCAGAGACGGUGAGAGCCCCAUUGUUCUCGGACCCUAUCGUACCACGAGGCGCUGUCUACAAGUCGAGUUGUUUGGGAAUGCAGCCCAAAUCGGGGGGUGAAUUCCGUCCAAGGCUAAAUACGGGUAAGAGAUCGAUAGCGAACAAGUACUGCGAGGGAAAGGUGAAAAGGACUUUGACAAGAGAGUCAAAGAGUGUUUGAAAUUGUCGGGAGGGAAGCGGAUGGGAGCCGGCGAUGUACCCCGGUCGGAUGUGGAAUGGUGAAGAGCCUGUCCGCCGAUCGACUCGGGGAGUGGAUCAGCGUUAAUUGGGGGGGAGACCAAAACCUGUACUAGGAUCAACUGCACAUCCAUUUAUCAAGUUGGCACUCUUUCCUUCCAAAAACAUACUCCACUCAACAGCAUGAGCAUCAUCAUAUGUAAACAAGUGAUAGAGAAAGGUGUCUCGCAAAUAAACCUCCUCUAGGGUGUUUUCAUGUGUAUGACUACCAAUAGGCUCAAAAACAUUGGUCAUACUAUGAAGGAGUGAAACACACCCAGAAAA